rnacentral:rRNA from 1 species
UACAUAGGGGGCAAGCGUUGUCCGGAAUUAUUGGGUGUAAAGGGUGCGUAGACGGAUGGACAAGUUGGUUGUGAAAUCCCUCGGCUUAACUGAGGAACUGCAACCAAAACUAUUCACCUUGAGUGUCGGAGGGGAAAGUAGAAUUCCUAGUGUAGCGGUGAAAUGCGUAGAUAUUAGGAGGAACACCAGUGGCGAAGGCGACUUUCUGGACGAUAACUGACGUUCAUGCACGAAAGUGUGGGGAGCAAAC